UUUCAGUCCUAUCAGACCUACACAAUAAUCUGGAUUGUGGUGGAUGUUGUGUCCGUGUUGAUAAUGGCUGCCCUCUUCAUCUGUCAGUGGAAAACACACUGUUCCCGCCUCAGAGAAGGGAGAAACAGAAAUGAACGAUCUUCGAACUUCUCAGUUGGAGAUCUUGCAACCUUUCCUUUCCUGUCCAGCCGAGCCAUGCCAGAUUAGGGCUGCAUGGAAGAGAAACUGUGUCAUUUCAAAGCACUUUUUUGAUAAUUUCAUAAAACUUAAAGUGUAAUUUCAAACAUAGUUUAGGAAGAAAGUGGACACAACCACCAAAGAUUGGCAGUCAGUUACAUUCUUUUGAAUUUUGUGCAGUUUUUAUAGUCUUUUUUUUUGUCUUUUACUACUGAAUAUGUAAUGUCUGAGCUCUGUGUUUGAAAAACACACACUGUAACUAUGCAUAACUUUCUCUUUGGUGAAUUUCUUAAUUAAAUGAGUACAUUUGUCAUUGUUUCACUAAUGCAGCUAUAAUGUUUCUGCUUUCUGAGCCACAUGAAUUUUUCCUCUGUUUAAAAAGUGAUUUUUAAAAUGUGUCAAAUGUAAAUAAAAGAAUAAAACUCUAUACUGUAAUCUCAGGGAAGACAAACUUAAAAGGACAACAUAUGAAAAGAUUAAAGAAAUACAAAUCUG